rnacentral:rRNA from 1 species
AUGAACGCUGGCGGCGUGCCUAACACAUGCAAGUCGAACGGAGUCCAGCCUUUAAGACCUUCGGGUCAAAGAGGGGAAGACUGAGUGGCGGACGGGUGAGUAACACGUGGGCAACCUGGCUCAGAGAGGGGGAUAACAGAGAGAAAUUUCUGCUAAUACCGCAUAAGCACACACUGCCGCAUGGCAGAGGGUGAAAAGAGAAUCGCUAUGAGAUGGACCCGCGUCUGAUUAGCCAGUUGGCAGGGUAAGAGCCUACCAAAGCGACGAUCAGUAGCCGAUCUGAGAGGAUGAACGGCCACAUUGGGACUGAGACACGGCCCAAACUCCUACGGGAGGCAGCAGUGGGGGAUAUUGCACAAUGGGGGGAACCCUGAUGCAGCGACGCCGCGUGAGUGAAGAAGUAUUUCGGUAUGUAAAGCUCUAUCAGCAGGGAAGAUAAUGACAGUACCUGAAUAAGAAGCCCCGGCUAACUACGUG